rnacentral:rRNA from 1 species
UGGGGAAUAUUGGACAAUGGGCGAAAGCCUGAUCCAGCAAUGCCGCGUGAGUGAUGAAGGCCUUAGGGUUGUAAAGCUCUUUUACCCGGGAAGAUAAUGACUGUACCGGGAGAAUAAGCCCCGGCUAACUCCGUGCCAGCAGCCGCGGUAAUACGGAGGGGGCUAGCGUUGUUCGGAAUUACUGGGCGUAAAGCGCACGUAGGCUGUUUUGUAAGUCAGAGGUGAAAGCCCAGGGCUCAACCCUGGAUGUGCCUUUGAGACUGCAGAACUAGAACGUCGGAGAGGUGAGUGGAAUUCCGAGUGUAGAGGUGAAAUUCGUAGAUAUUCGGAAGAACACCAGUGGCGAAGGCGGCUCACUGGACGACUGUUGACGCUGAGGUGCGAAAGCGUGGGGAGCAAACA